UCGAGAAUUUUUCUCAAUGGGGGCAACCCUGAAGGAGCGACGCCGCGUGGAGGAUGAAGGUCUUCGGAUUGUAAACUCCUGUCAUUAGGGAACAAUUGUCGCCGCUUAACUGCCGGCGGCUUGAUAGUACCUGAAGAGGAAGAGACGGCUAACUCUGUGCCAGCAGCCGCGGUAAUACAGAGGUCUCAAGCGUUGUUCGGAUUCAUUGGGCGUAAAGGGUGCGUAGGUGGCGAGGCAAGUCAGAUGUGAAAUCCCGGGGCUCAACCCCGGAACUGCAUUUGAAACUGCCUUGCUCGAGUACUGGAGAGGAGACUGGAAUUUACGGUGUAGCAGUGAAAUGCGUAGAUAUCGUAAGGAAGACCAGUGGCGAAGGCGAGUCUCUGGACAGUUACUGACACUGAGGCACGAAGGCCAGGGGAGCAAACGG
rnacentral:rRNA from 1 species